rnacentral:lncRNA from 1 species
ACCGGAAGGUAUGAUUAAGAUAAAUACUGAUGGAGCCUUAUUCGAAGAUUCUAACACAUACAGCUAUUCCAUGAUAGUGAGAAACCAUGCAGGUGAUCUAGUAGAAUCAAAAGCAAGCUGUAGACAGACUUGUUGGAAACGUGUAUGGGCCUUAAACCAAAAACUUCCGAUAUAUUAGGAUACAAACACACACAACUUGUAUAUUAAUGUAACACGCAGCUACACUACUUAUAAUUUUUUUACACACGCUAGCUAGGCUUCAGCCUUUCCUAUUACACACAGAAAUGGCACACGGCCUUUUCACUCAGAGCUUCAGCUCUUCUAAAUUUCUCUCUACAACUGCUGUUGUAGUUUUCCUCUGUGUGUUCUCUAUUUCUUCUUCCUCUAGCAGCCUUAUAUAUAGGUUACAGAUUACAACUUGUAACACAUAUUUAUUGCUGCUCUAGACUUUUAUCAGCCUGCCAUCUUUGACCUGGAGUAUGCUGCAGAUUGUCACCAGCCUGUGUUAAUUAAAGAGAGCCCACCUUAUAUCCAGGAGCUAUGUUUCUUUCUUCGAUCUCUCCCAUAUAACAGUCCAUACAUUCAAGUCUUCAUUGUAACUAGCACCUUUAUUUUCUUCCGUUGAUACUACUACAUCUAUACAUCUUAUACACACCCAGCUGUUAUUUAUGACUCAAGUCCUACUUGCGUAACAGGAUAACAUUAGCAUUUAUAUCAGCUGCUAAUAUGGUCUUCCAUGUUAUCCGGUACACACAAGAUGAACUCCAACCCUCACUUAAUAGCCAACCAUUUAUUCUGCAUAUAUUCUUGCAGCCUACCGUAAUUUCAGGAUCACCUAGUUAUUAUAAUUAAUACGAGUUUGAAUUCUAACACUCCCCCUCAAACUCGUAUUUCUAUCCCGAGCUUCUUUUCCAUUUUGUGAAAUAUAUGCCACCUUAUCAGCUUCAUGAUAAUAUUUGUCAGGUCAUUUAAAAAUUGGGAUAAAUAUCAAGUUGGUGACUCGUUUCGUCCAAAUGUAUCAAUUGAGUGACUGAUUCCUAAAUUGACUCAAAUGAGUCACUCAUUAGAAAAAUUUGUAUCAAAAAUAUCAUUCUAUCAUUAGUCGAAAUUUUGAAAGUAUUAUAUAUUGAGUUUCGCACAUUUUUUAUGAAUGAUAUUACAUCUAAAUGAAAGAUUAUGAGUUCUAGUAUUUUUGAUAAUAUUUUUAGAUUUUUAAAAAUUUAUCUCCUAUUUAUUUUUAUUUAAAUCAAAUAAAACAAUCAAAAAAUUAAAAAUAAAUAGUUGAUAAAAUUUUAAAAAUCUAAAAAUAUUUAUGGUCUUCCAUGUUAUCCGGUACACACAAGAUGAACUCCAACCCUCACUUAACAGCCAACCAUUUAUUCUGCAUAUAUUCUUGCAGCCUACCGUAAUUUCAGGAUCACCUAGUUAUUAUAAUUAAUACGAGUUUGAAUUCUAACACUCCCCCUCAAACUCGUAUUUCUAUCCCGAGCUUCUUUUCCAUUUUGUGAAAUAUAUGCCACCUUAUCAGCUUCAUGAUAAUAUUUGUCAGGCCAUUUAAAAAUUUUGUAUCUCUUCUUGUAGCCUUUAAAAUUUUUACCUCGACCAAAUGAUCGGUGACCUUCAUUUUUCUGGCGUCUCUCAAACGGUUUCCUUCCACAUUUAUGUCUGCCUUGAUAACCACCUUUUCCACGUACAAAGCCGCUUCUGCUAGAAUUGUAUUAAUGGCCGGAUACCUUACUUUCUAGUAUUUUUUCCGAUUGAUUCUCGUAUCGAGUCAUUCGUUGCUUGUGGACUUGAAAAGAAUCUACUAGCUUAUCACUUGAAAUUCUGUAAGAGUAGUACUCCUUUGUCUUCCCUGUUAAUAUAACGAUACAAUCAAAUUUUGUUGUCAAUAGAGGAAGGAGCUUUUCCAUGACUUGAACAUCAUCAAGACUUUCACCAUUUCCUCUUAUUUCACUUGUCAUCGUUUUCAAACGCGUAACAUUUUCUUCAAUAUUUUCAGAAUUUUUCAUUUUCAUAUUCUCGAACUCGCCAUGCAAUACUUGAGGCUCCACCUCUUCUUCUUUAUCGACUCCUUGGAAUGAUUUCUGCAGAAUCUCCCAGGCGUCUUUUGCUUUUUUUUUCAUGCGCAAUAUUAUCAAAGGUGGAUUCGUCGAUACCUUGAUAAAUCAUGAAACAUGCCUUGUUAUUUUUGCUCCUGCACCCAUUUAAUGUCGUCUUCUCGGCUUCUGACAGAGCUACUUCAGCCGCUGAUGUGAACUCAUCAUACCCGCUUUCGACUAUAUCCCAAACAUCAUAAAAAUGGAGUAAUUCCUUCAUUUGGAUACUCCAGUCUCCAUAAUUUGUGCCCGUCAACAUUGGAACAUGGGCUUCCAGGAAACUUACCAUUAUUUUUUUCUCGAACAAAACCUCGGCUCUGAUGCCACUUGUUGGAAACGUGUAUGGGCCUUAAACCAAAAACUUCCGAUAUAUUAGGAUACAAACACACACAACUUGUAUAUUAAUGUAACACGCAGCUACACUACUUAUAAUUUUGUUACACACGCUAGCUAGGCUUCAGCCUUUCCUAUUACACACAGAGAUGGCACACGGCCUUUUCACUCAGAGCUUCAGCUCUUCUAAAUUUCUCUCUACAACUGCUGUUGUAGUUUUCCUCUGUGUGUUCUCUAUUUCUUCUUCCUCUAGCAGCCUUAUAUAUAGGUUACAGAUUACAACUUGUAACACAUAUUUAUUGCUGCUCUAGACUUUUAUCAGCCUUCCAUCUUUGACCUGAAGUAUGCUGCAGAUUGUCACCAGCCUGUGUUAAUUAAAGAGAGCCCACCUUAUAUCCAGGAGCUAUGUUUCUUUCUUCGAUCUCUCCCAUAUAACAGUCCAUACAUUCAAGUCUUCAUUGUAACUAGCACCUUUAUUUUCUUCCGUUGAUACUACUACAUCUAUACAUCUUAUACACACCCAGCUGUUAUUUAUGACUCAAGUCCUACUUGCGUAACAGGAUAACAUUAGCAUUUAUAUCAGCUGCUAAUAUGGUCUUCCAUGUUAUCCGGUACACACAAGAUGAACUCCAACCCUCACUUAAUAGCCA